rnacentral:rRNA from 1 species
AGAGUUUGAUCCUGGCUCAGAACGAACGCUGGCGGCGCGUCUUAAACAUGCAAGUCGUACGUGGUCCCUGGUGCUUGCAUUAGGGUGAAAGUGGCGAACGGGUGAGUAACACGUGGAUAAUCUGCCUCUAGGAUUGGGAUAACCACUGGAAACGGUGGAUAAUACCGAAUAAGAUGGUGGGGGCAUAAGCUCCAGCCAUUAAAGGUGGGGACCGCAAGGCCUAUCACCUAGAGAUGAGUCCGCGGUCCAUUAGCUAGUUGGCAGGGUAACGGCCUACCAAGGCAGCGAUGGAUAGCCGGCCUGAGAGGGUGUCCGGCCACAUUGGGACUGAGAUACGGCCCAAACUCCUACGGGAGGCAGCAGUUAAGAAUCUUGCGCAAUGGGCGAAAGCCUGACGCAGCGACGCCGCGUGGAUAAUGAAGGCCUUUGGGUUGUAAAGUCCAUUAGACAGGGAAGAAUAAGCAAAGGGUAAUAUUCUUUGUGAUGACGGUACCUGUUAAAAGUCUCGGCUAAUUACGUGCCAGCAGCCGCGGUAAUACGUAUGAGGUAAGCGUUGUUCGGAAUUAUUGGGCGUAAAGGGCGUGUAGGCGGGGGAUUAAGUUAGGUGUGAAAUCCUUGGGCUCAACCCAAGAACUGCAUCUAAUACUGGUUCUCUUGAAUCCAGGAGGGGAGAGCGGAAUUCCCGGUGUAGCGGUGAAAUGCGUAGAUAUCGGGAAGAACACCAGUGGCGAAGGCGGCUCUCUGGCCUAGGAUUGACGCUGAGGCGCGAAAGUGUGGGGAGCAAACAGGAUUAGAUACCCUGGUAGUCC